UACAGAGGUCUCAAGCGUUGUUCGGAUUCAUUGGGCGUAAAGGGUGCGUAGGCGGCGCGGUAAGUCGGGUGUGAAAUUUCGAGGCUUAACUUCGAAACUGCAUUCGAUACUGCCGUGCUUGAGGACUGGAGAGGAGACUGGAAUUUACGGUGUAGCGGUGAAAUGCGUAGAUAUCGGGAAGAACACCCGUGGCGAAGGCGGCUCUCUGGGACGGUACUGACGCUGAGACGCGAAAGCGUGGGGAGCGAACAGG
rnacentral:rRNA from 1 species